AUUGAACGCUGGCGGCAGGCCUAACACAUGCAAGUCGAACGGUAACAGGAAGCAGCUUGCUGCUUCGCUGGCGAGUGGCGGACGGGUGAGUAAUGUCUGGGAAGCUGCCUGAUGGAGGGGGAUAACUACUGGAAACGGUAGCUAAUACCGCAUAAUGUCGCAAGACCAAAGAGGGGGACCUUCGGGCCUCUUGCCAUCGGAUGUGCCCAGAUGGGAUUAGCUUGUUGGUGGGGUAACGGCUCACCAAGGCGACGAUCCCUAGCUGGUCUGAGAGGAUGACCAGCCACACUGGAACUGAGACACGGUCCAGACUCCUACGGGAGGCAGCAGUGGGGAAUAUUGCACAAUGGGCGCAAGCCUGAUGCAGCCAUGCCGCGUGUAUGAAGAAGGCCUUCGGGUUGUAAAGUACUUUCAGCGGGGAGGAAGGGAGUAAAGUUAAUACCUUUGCUCAUUGACGUUACCCGCAGAAGAAGCACCGGCUAACUCCGUG
rnacentral:rRNA from 1 species